CCUGAGGUUCAGGGCAGGGUGCUGGGUAGAGGCGACUAGAACAGUGACUAAGGUUCAGGGCAGGGUGCUGGGGUGGAGGGUAGCUAGUAACAGGCUCUGAGGUUCAGGGCAGGGUACUGGGUGGAGGCCGACUAGUAACAGUGACUAGGUUUCAGGGCAGGGUACUGGGUGGAGGUCGAAUAGUAACAGUGACAAAGGUUCAGGGCAGGGUGCUGGGUGUAGGCCGACUAGUGACAGUGACUAAGUUUCAGGGCAGGGUAUUGGGGUGGAGGCCUACUAGUAACGUGACUAUAGCUUCAGGGCAGGGUACUGGGUGGAGGCUG
rnacentral:lncRNA from 1 species